AAAGCAGGUUGGGUGGCCGCCCUCACGCCAAUUUCUUUAUAUAAUCCUAAUCAUGGUGUAAAAGGCCAGAACAUAGCCUACUUUGACCGGCAUCGCGAUUCUUAUAUGAAAUUGGCGCGGGGGAGGAAAGUCCGGGCUCCGGAGAGCGGCGUAGCGGCUAACAGCCGUCCACCGAAAGGUGAGGAUAACUUCUUGUCUUGAUAAAAGGCAAGAGUGAUUUCCGGCAACGGCGAGCGAGCACUGGCGCCGGCCGUAUUAGCGGCAGGGCGCUAAGGGGUGUUUGCUUCGCCCGCGUCCGGAAAUCAGAGCCACAGAGACGAGUAGACAGGUCAGCUCUUAGCUCUUUGCUCAUGGCCCUUAGGAGGAAAAAAUCUUCCUAUGAGCUAGGAACCAUGGGCUAAAAGCUGACCUGUUGAGGUGAAACGCGGCAAUCUCUACGCGGAGCAAGGCCAAAUAAAUCCCGAUUCAGGAAUUGCUCGUUCCUACUGUGUUUUAUCAGUAUCGGGAUGGGUAGGCCGCAUUGAGGUUGCCAGUAAUGGCAAUCCCAGAUAGAUGGUCACCGGCGGUCGAGGCUUUUGUCCUGCCAUACUACGUGUGGGAGGAUAAAUUAGCCUUUUAGCCCGUUUACAGAACUCGGCUUAUAGGCCUGCUUUGCUU
rnacentral:RNase_P_RNA from 1 species